AGCCUUACCUACCCUUGACAUGGAUGGAAUCCCGAAGAGAUUUGGGAGUGCUCGAAAGAGAACCAUCACACAGGUGCUGCAUGGCUGUCGUCAGCUCGUGUCGUGAGAUGUUGGGUUAAGUCCCGCAACGAGCGCAACCCUUGUCAUUAGUUGCUACGAAAGGGCACUCUAAUGAGACUGCCGGUGACAAACCGGAGGAAGGUGGGGAUGACGUCAAGUCCUCAUGGCCCUUAUGGGUAGGGCUUCACACGUCAUACAAUGGUACAUACAGAGGGCCGCCAACCCGCGAGGGGGAGCUAAUCCCAGAAAGUGUAUCGUAGUCCGGAUUGGAGUCUGCAACUCGACUCCAUGAAGUGGAAUCGCUAGUAAUCGC
rnacentral:rRNA from 1 species